GAAUAGAAAGUAGGCAGGCUUCUGGGUGGAUGGGGCCCAGCACCCACAGCCUAGGCUGGCUGCCUGAGAGUAGCGAGUGACAGGUAAGGGCUCUGAACCUUCCUGCGUGCUACCCAAGGAGUGCCUAGGGCUACCAGGAGGCCCAGGGAGGAACCUUGAGACCUGAGAAAGGCUUUUCUUCCCCGAGAGGACCACUGCUCAGGCUCAGAGGCCAUGGGGUGAAGUGCACAAAAAAGUGGGCGUCCAGCCAUGCUCUAAGUCCCCCGAAGAUGAAGACCAGGGAGCAGCUUCCUCCAAUGAAGCAGCAGCAAUCAGAGGACCAGGAGGCUGAAGCCCUGAGCCCAGCCAGAGGCAGGAUCAGCCAAGUCUGGGACAGGCUUCAAUUAUUUUAGGCAGAGCUUCUGGUUCCUGGGCCUUCAGACUUGGACUAGAACUUCACUACCAGCUUUCCUGGGUCUCCAGCUUGCAGAGAGCAGAUCGCAGAACUUCUUAGCCUCCAUAAUCACAAGAACGUGUUUGCUUCCCCUUCCACCAUGAUUGUAAGUUUCCUGAGGCCUCCCCAGUCCUGCAGAACUGCUUUGAAGAAGACCACUGCGUCGGUAUUUGUGAAAUGUUUUGAGCCUCUGGAUUUAAAUAAGAUGGAAAACCAAAGCUCAGGGAGUUUUACAUGGGCAGGCAGCUGGUGAGGGCUGAGACUGGAGCCAGGCCAGUGGUCUUCAAAGGCUUUAGUCAAACUUUUUGACAGAUAUAAGAAAACCGAACUAAGGAAAAUACUUUCCUGGGAUCAUCCCUAUAUGAAGUGGCAGACCUGGAAUUGCUCCCUGUUUCAAAACAUGGCUGAAGCCUCAGAGUCUGGAUCAGUGUCAGGUACGGAGAAGGUGCUCUGGUGGAAACCUCAGUGGCAACGUUCAGCUCACAGUGGGAAACUCGGGCCUUCAGACCAGGGAAGGGGGCCGUUUGAAGAUAUGAGUCUGGAGUGUGACUGAUGAAGCCAAAAGCAGGCACAAACUCUCUUUUUAUGACCAACUUUGGAUAAUGAGCUCAAGCCAUGUAUAAAAACAUUCCCCAAAAGUGCUUUUCUAGAUGAAAGGGAGAAAAAUAGCUAAAGUGAUCCAUCUUCCUUUCUUUGAGGAAGGUUGGCACCGCUUCUGUUGCUUCCAGGAAGAUUGCAUACACAUGUAAAACCGGAAAAACGUUAAUGAAGAGAAAAACUAAAAGCUCCCGCCCCCACCCAGGCCUGCUCAGAAGAACCCAAGCCACUCAGAAGCAGGAGGCAGCCUUCACCCCAACCAGACCAAUAUCCGUUCCAGACUCAGGAUUACAACAAUCUGGGAGAGGGUCAACCAAGUCAGAGUCCCACAUGGCAGAAGAGCUGCUUUAGCUUAAGACUCUUAACUCUUUUUCUUCGGGGCAGGAAAGGUUUGAGCCAAUGAAGGAUGAGGCUUUCCAGGCCCAGGACACAACCUUGAUCCAAGGCCUAGUUGUGGCUUUAAUUUUUGUAAAUCAAGCCUCAAGUUUUUCUUCACUCUUUUAGCCAAAGAUAUGUUUCCCAGGAUGCAUGAAAUAAAUAAAUAAAAUGUACCAAAUUAGAGAUUGUGAGACAUGUAUGUCACUUAAAUCCUUUGUAGGCAA
rnacentral:lncRNA from 1 species